UCCCGACAGUUGGGCUGAGCAGAUUGGGUGCGAUAUUUAUCGCUUAUUCGAAUUUUUCUCUGCUGGAUUUACGUUAUCUGCACUAGCGGUUCUGCUAUUUAUCAUGCCAUGCAUGCUGUGCAUAUUUUUCCGUAAAAGAUGCUUUAGCAGGGUUUUCUGAAUUCUGAGCGAGUGCGUUUUUACAAAAGAAAUAGUGCCUUGAUUAGUUUAAGAAGUAAGACGCGCAACUGUUGAUAAUUACGUAGAGGAAAAAAAUUGAUAAGAUUUUUUUUUUAAGAUAGUGAUUACUGCAUACUUAAGAAUUGGAUUUGAUAUCGUUUUUAGAUUCUAAGCACCUUCUUAAGAUACUAACACGAGCACUCGUUUCAGUAAAUGUGUUAAAUUAAAUAAGAUGGGGGAAAAAACAAUUUUAAACCACUCUAUUAUUUAUAUCAAUAGUUGAGAUCGGGAAAAUAAUCAUGUGAUUAUCAAGACGGAUAUUAGAAUUCGGAAUGGUACUUACAGAGGCAACGGGAAUUUAAAUAUCUGCGGGAUUAUUUUUGUAUUCGUUUUGAGUUUCGGUUUCACAUGCGCGUAAACUUGUUUCAGUCGACGAAGCGAAACCAGUGUCGUUGAAGUGUGAAACACCUGCUUAACAUGUGCAAUUUUCGUGACACUUUUAAUCUUGUGGGAAAAUUAACCAGCCUAAAGUGCCAACAUGUGUGGAUUACAUUUCCCUGAUACAUUAAUCUUUUUCUUUAUGGAUUACACGAACCUCUGGAAAUGCCUGUUCCAGUUAAUGCAUCAAUAAAUGGGGUUUGAGUCCUGAUUCUUUCCAGCUCUUCUUGAAGUAUAAACGUUACGAGGAUGCAACGAAAGCAAAAAGAAUUCUAAAACCGUCCGCGCAGAAGACUCUCUUUCAGGCCUCAAAGAUCAAGGGACAGUGGACAAGUCGUUCAAGAGAACAAACACCAAGUCGGCAAGUAACAUUUCCUUCGCGUCCGAACCCUCGCCUUUAUUUUUCUUCUCCCUUCACUUUUUAUUUCACAUUUUUUUCUUUCUUACGGUUCUUAAAUAAAGCAAUUUAUAGCCAAACGACAUCGAUAAAUAAUAAUGCGAAGGAAUUGGGAGGAAGGUGGAUGGAAAAAAGAAAAAGAAGGGUGGUGGUAGUGGGGAGUAAGCAAGCAUCACCCCACCCGCCAACGUUCGAGUACCAGAAACGUGUGUGUCCAUAUUUUAUACGAGCCCCCGAACUGUAUGUUUAAGCAACCUGUCACGCUUCACUUCUUUACCGAUGACAGUUCGAAUUUUGCAACUUGAGAUGAAGGGAGAGCAGGGAGGAGGGAUAUGGGGUUUUUCGAAAAAGCGCGAAUAAGAAGUUUCAAGAACAAAAUGGAGGAAGACAGACCAGUGAUGCAAUAAUAAUAAUAAUAAAACGAAGAAGUUCCUGUGAAAAAAAAAAAAAAAAAAAAAAAACAAUACAAAAAGAGAAA